rnacentral:rRNA from 1 species
UACGUAGGGUGCGAGCGUUAAUCGGAAUUACUGGGCGUAAAGCGCGUGUAGGCGGUUUCGCGAGUCCGAUGUGAAAGCCCGGGGCCCAACCCCGGAAGUGCAUUGGAUACUACGAAGCUUGAGUGCUGGAGAGGAGAGCGGAAUUCCCGGUGUAGAGGUGAAAUUCGUAGAUAUCGGGAGGAACACCAGUGGCGAAGGCGGCUCUCUGGACAGACACUGACGCUGAUACGCGAAAGCGCGGGGAUCAAACAGG